AAUUUAGUUGUGAUUUCAACACAAUACACAAUCUUGUUUAUUUCACAUCAAUAUAUACAAGCUAGAGUUUAUUUUUAUGGAAAAGUGAUUCAAAAUUGGAGUCGUGGGUCAGAAGACAACUUUUUCUAGAGGUCAAAUGCUUUUUUGAAAAAAUGAUUCUCUCUACUUACGCAACUUUUUUUUUUUGUUUGUGAGAAUCAUUCCAACUACUUGAACUAAACAAAAUUGGCUCUUCAAUUUCGAAGUUGAGCGAAUAGCUCAUCAGAUCGUACUGGAAUCUCGCAGUCCUCUACCAGUCGCCGAUCCGGUUGAACCGUCGGAUGAACAUCUUCCAUCACGGAUCGGCGACGAGCUCCGACCAUCCACGCACGCUUUUCAACGAGCCCACGCCCUGACCCCACCAGCUCCAGCCAAUUGCCCUGACCCUCUCCGGCCGACGGCGGAAUCCGCUCCCAAUUCUCGGAUCUGAAGCACGAGAAAUUGCAGCAGUAGCCACCGCCAAGGUUAGCGUCGCCGACGCCAUCUUCCUCCACUCCAUCUCCCGCUGAAUCCUGGGACCGCGAGCCGCCAUCAGCUCCGUCGCCGCCACCGCCGCAUAGCUACUGGAGAGAGAGAGGGAGCGGGUGCGUUUCUGAGAGAGAGAGAGUGAGAAGAUUAUGGGUGGCUAAUUUUUUAAUUUUUAUUGUUGGGGUAAUUUUGUACUUUUCCAUAAAAAGUGGCCAAAUUUUAAAGUUUUUAUUUGACUGGCCAAUUUUUAAGUUUACUAUGUGAAAGUGGCCAAUUUCAUAUAUUGACUCUAUAAGUUUUGUAUUUAUUAAAUUAGGUGCGGUGCGAGUAAGAUCCUGAUUUCGAAUUUGACUAUUAAGGUGAGGGAUUAUAUGCUUGUAGUUAUAUUCAUGUAUGUUUUUAUAUGCUCUUAGUUCAUGUUUGAUUAUACUUGCUCAGCCAUGUAGAAAUACAUGUUCAGAAUAUCAUGUUCAAAUACAUGAUCAGAAACGCAGAAUAUCAUGUUCAAGUACAUGAUUAGAAACGCAAAAUAUCAUGUUCAAGUACAUGAUUAGAAACGCAGAAUAUCAUGUUCAAGUACAUGAUCAGAACGCAGAAUAUCAUGUUCAAGUACAUGAUCAAAAACGCAGAAUAUCAUGUUCAAGUACAUGAUCAGAAACACUCAGAAUUUAGAAUAUGUGUAUGACAAUGUGAAUUAUUUGCAUGUAUAAGCGUAUGUGAAUAUGUGCAUGUUCCUCACUGAGUAUAUUUGCAAUAUGCUCACCCCUUUCUCUUCAGUUUUGCAGUUUUGGAGUUGAGGCGGCCAUGGAAGUCGAGAAUGACUAGAGAUUUAGUAUUUUCAUAGAAAUUUAAGUUGAACAUGUUACUUUUUAGUUUAUCAUUAUAUUUCAUGUUACUACUUUAGUUUUGACAAGUUGAAUUUAAAUUGAUUUAAACUUUUAUAAU
rnacentral:lncRNA from 1 species